rnacentral:rRNA from 1 species
UUGAACGCUGGCGGUAUGCUUUACACAUGCAAGUCGAACGGGCUAUGGGGCUUGCUCCAUAGUUAGUGGCGAACGGGUGAGUAAUAUAUCGGAACAUAUCCGGAAGUGGGGGAUAACGUAGCGAAAGUUACGCUAAUACCGCAUAUGCCCUGAGGGGGAAAGGGGGGGAUCGCAAGACCUCUCGCUUUCGGAGUGGCCGAUAUCGGAUUAGCUAGUUGGUGAGGUAAAGGCUCACCAAGGCGACGAUCCGUAGCUGGUCUGAGAGGACGACCAGCCACACUGGAACUGAGACACGGUCCAGACUCCUACGGGAGGCAGCAGUGGGGAAUUUUGGACAAUGGGGGCAACCCUGAUCCAGCCAUGCCGCGUGAGUGAAGAAGGCCUUCGGGUUGUAAAGCUCUUUCGGACGGAAAGAAACGGUCACGGCCAAUACCCGUGGCUAAUGACGGUACCGUCAGAAGAAGCACCGGCUAACUACGU